AUGUGAAAAAGGAACUGUCGAAUGCUUAUAAAACUGUCAGAUCUUGGUGUGAACUCUCUCACUAUUACAAGACAGCAUGGGAGGAACCACCCUCAUGAUCCAAUCACCUCCCACCAAGUCCUUCCUUCGACACAUGGGGAUUAUGGGGAUUACAAUUUGAGAUGAGAUUUGGUUGGGGACACAGAGUCAAACUAUAUCAAAGAAAGUGCACCAUGAUCAAGAGGGCUUCAUCCCUGGGAUGCAAGGCUGGUUCAACAUAUGCAAAUCAAUAAACGUAAUCCAGCAUAUAAACAGAACCAACGACAAAAACCAUACGAUUAUCUCAAUGGAUGCAGAAAAGGCCUUUGACAAAAUUCAACAACCCUUCAUGCUAAAAACUCUCAAUAAAUUAAACUUUAGCUAAAGGCUGUGGUAAAGUGGAAAAGGAAAAAUAUAUUAAGAAAGCAGAAGAUUUAAGACCCCACUGACUCUCAAACCAAAACAAAGCCCAUCGUUGCAAACUUACAGAAGCCAGUUUGGUUAUGCACACUUAGAUUUCUAGUGGUCACCAAAAAGGUUGAAAUGGUGUCAAGAAUAAACAAAGCCGGAUGCUAAAGAGGUAAGGACAGAUUUUCAUCAGUAAUGUACUAUUGCAAUAAGGAAACAUGUUCUGUAUAAACUGAACUCAGCUUCAAUUUGGAGGGAGGUGACUGUUGUUUUAAAGGGAGAAUGAGAGAGUAGGGAGGGGGCAGGUAUUAGAGUCAGGGAAGUAAAAAAUUACAAAAAAAACAGAAACAGGGAAUUGGUUCAUGUAAAAUCCACAC
rnacentral:lncRNA from 1 species